rnacentral:rRNA from 1 species
AUUGAACGCUGGCGGAAUGCUUUACACAUGCAAGUCGAGCGGCAGCGCGGGGCAACCUGGCGGCGAGCGGCGAACGGGUGAGUAACAUAUCGGAACGUACCCUGUCGUGGGGGAUAACACAGCGAAAGCUGUGCUAAUACCGCAUACGACCUGAGGGCGAAAGCGGGGGAUCGCAAGACCUCGCGCGAUAGGAGCGGCCGAUAUCGAAUUAGCUAGUUGGUGGGGUAAAGGCUCACCAAGGCGACGAGCCGUAGCGGGUCUGAGAGGACGACCCGCCACACUGGAACUGAGACACGGUCCAGACUCCUACGGGAGGCAGCAGUGGGGAAUUUUGGACAAUGGGGGCAACCCUGAUCCAGCCAUUCCGCGUGAGUGAAGAAGGCCUUCGGGUUGUAAAGCUCUUUCGGCAGGAACGAAACGGCGGGGGCUAAUAUCCCCUGUUAAUGACGGUACCUGAAGAAGAAGCACCGGCUAACUACGUGCCAGCAGCCGCCGUAA